UUGCCUGGCACUGUGCUUCAUCCACUGUUAUCCAAGUUGCAGGUGGUUUCCUCCUCCAACUUGAGGGGGGGUGUUGAGAUGAAAGCCUAUAAAUGAUUGUACACAUUAUAUAUACAUUGUAUCUGGUAUACAAUGUAUUGGGCUGUGAUAAUUGUUGUUUGGGUUGUAUAUAUCUGAGCCCGUUUUCAUUUUGUUAUUGGGCCGUCUGACCCGACCCAAUAGUAGUUGUAUAAAGGUCAUUUGUACAGAUAUUUUGGUUAAGGAUUUUCAUUUGCUUCUCGGGUUUCCUCCAGAAGCUUCUCAUCUCUCUCUCUACUUCUCACUGUUCAUCUUCAUCUUCUCUGGUUUUCUUCUCCAAAUCUCCAUGUUUUCAUGGUAUCAGAGCGGGAAAAUCUUCCGAUCCUUCCCUGUUAUGUGUUAUCGAUGCUUUGAUGAUGC
rnacentral:lncRNA from 1 species